AUUUCUAAUAUGCAAUAUGUCUCUUCGCUUUAAUCCUUGUGAUUUUCCACUGGAUUCUUUUGAGUUUUGAUUCUGAGGUUCUUUUUUUUUUUUUUUUUUUUUUUAUGAGACAAAAUCUCGCUCUGUCACCCAGGCUGGAGUACACUGGCUCACUGCAACCUCCGCCUCCUGGCAAUUCUCAUGCCUCAGCCACCUGAGUAGCUGGGAUUACAGGCACGCACCAUCAUGCCUGGUUAAUUUUUGUAUUUUUAGUGGAGAGGGGGUUUGGCCAUUUUGGCCAGGCUGGUCUCAAACCCCUGGCCUCAAGUGAUCCCCACCCCACCCCCUCUGCACCGCCUCCGCCUCCCAAAGUGCUGAGAUUAUGGGCGUGAGCCAUCACAUCCGGCCUGAUUCUGAGGUUCUUAAUUAAGAAACAGAAAUCACGUCAGCUGAUGUGAGGCUUACGGAAAUUGGUGUGUUUGUGUGUGUGUGCAUGUGUGUAUGUGUGUUUAUGUGUGGGUGUGGGUGGGUGGGCUGAGCAUUGUCUCCCUUUCUCUUGCUUUGCUCCUAACUUCCACACCCCACCCUCACACUCUAUUUUCAUUCCUUCUGAUUUCUCUUUUUGGAGCACAUCUGAAGGAUACUUUAGAGAGCCUCAAAGCUAACGUGAGACAGCAUCUUGGUUCUGCAAGGACGUGUCCUUCAACCCAACGCCCCCCACCCCCACCCAACCCCAAGCAAAUAUCCUGUUGAAGUCUCCGUGAACAAACAUCUAUCAACAGAAAAGCGAUAUGGAAUACAGGGCAUUGGCAGGCAGAGAUGUACCCUGUGGCUUGGGCUUUCUCUGCAAGGCCAGUGGGGAUGAAACCAAUAACAAAGACCCUGACUUUGCUUAAUGACCAAGACUCACUUAGAUAACAAACCGGCGCUGCUGUUGGCAGAGAGCCUUCUAGAUGCUCAGUACAGUGUGGCCUGUUAAAGUGGGAAGGAGGACUUGAAGGAAAGAGCUGUUUAAGUCAUAUUUUCUUACAGCCAAAGGAGAUUAUCUUCUCUUGGUUUGGACGGAUCAUUAUUUGUUACUGUUUAUUAUUAAUCGUGAUUUCCUGAGAACUUUUAUGUUCCGGAUACCGAAUCACAUACUUUAUAUUCACUCACUACAAUCCUGCAAAACUUUGUUGUUGAUUUUCUUUUUUUAAUAAAAGAGAAAACUCGGCCGGGCGCGGUGACUCACGCCUGUAAUCCCAGCACUUUGGGAGGCUGAGGCGGGUGGAUCACCAGGUCAAGAGUUCAAGACCAGCCUGGCCAAGAUGCUGAAACCCCGUCUCUACUAAAAAUACAAAAAA
rnacentral:lncRNA from 1 species